rnacentral:rRNA from 1 species
GACGAACGCUGGCGGCGUGCUUAACACAUGCAAGUCGAACGGAAAGGCCCUGCUUUUGUGGGGUGCUCGAGUGGCGAACGGGUGAGUAACACGUGAGUAACCUGCCCUUGACUUUGGGAUAACUUCAGGCAACUGGGGCUAAUACCGGAUAGGAGCUCCUGCUGCAUGGUGGAGGUUGGAAAGUUUCGGCGGUUGGGGAUGGACUCGCGGCUUAUCAGCUUGUUGGUGGGGUAGUGGCUUACCAAGGCUUUGACGGGUAGCCGGCCUGAGAGGGUGACCGGCCACAUUGGGACUGAGAUACGGCCCAGACUCCUACGGGAGGCAGCAGUGGGGAAUAUUGCACAAUGGGCGGAAGCCUGAUGCAGCAACGCCGCGUGCGGGAUGACGGCCUUCGGGUUGUAAACCGCUUUCGCCUGUGACGAAGCGUGAGUGACGGUAAUGGGUAAAGAAGCACCGGCUAACUACGUG